rnacentral:rRNA from 1 species
GCAGACCAUGGACGCUUCACGGCCUUCCUUGCUGGGCUAAAGCAUAAGGUGGAGAGGUGCACCACUCUGGUGGUGGUCGCCGGAGACUUCAACCUUAUUAGCUGGGCUUCUGAUAAAAGCUUGCCUAAUGUUAAUCGGGUCCGCAUGCGUCUACUUAACGAUUGUAUUGCGGACCUGAGGCUCCGUGAGAUAGCCAUCGUAGGGGCUAGGUUCACGUGGACGAAUAAGCAGGCAGACCCCAUCCGGAGUGUCUUGGAUCGGGUCUUUGUGUCGGCCCUGUGGGAAGUGAUGUUCAGAUUGUGCUCUCUCAAAGAGGCCAUG